rnacentral:lncRNA from 1 species
GCAAAACCUUUCUGUGUGUGUAACAGUUGCUUCUGUUGUGGGCAGAAAGGCCAGUGAAGAAAAAGAAGAGAAGGGAUUGGAAAAGGACACUCUGCUUAAAGAUCUCAGCCGUGUAACAUCUGGAACAAAUCCUCAACGCCCAGACAUCACACUCACUUAAGUCAGGCAUCUUUAUUUCACAAGUCAAAGUGUCAGCAGACAAAAAGCCAAGCCUUCUGCAAGGAAUCUUCUCCCCAAAACCAUAGCACAUACAGAUCCCUCCAGUCUCCACCGCAUCCUUCUUUACCCACGUCAGCUUCCGGGCCAGUUACUCAAAGGCUGUAAAGUUCUGCUUGAGGACUAGGCUAGGUGUUACACAAUCCUUCCAUAAACUUUCUCUCCCACCCAACCA